GUCGCCUCGGCUGGCCACGCCCUCCCUGGGCGCGUCGGCGGUGAUGUCAUCGGUGAGGUCACCCGCCGGGGCGGCGGCUUCCUUCGUGGCGGGAGGGGGCGGCUCCUCCCCCCCGGCGCUGAUGUCACCGCUGAGGUCAUCCGCGGGGGCGGAAGUGACGUCACGCCGGGCGGUGUCCCCAGGGAGGCCGGGUCCCGCUGUGAUGUCACCUGUGAUGUYGCCCUCGGCGGUGACAUCGUGCCCAGCAAUGCUUCCGGGGGUGGCGGAAGUGAUGUCAUCCUUGGUGAUGACAUCAUCAAUGAAGUCAUCCCAAGAGGGGGCGUCGCCCCCCGAGACAUCUCCCGGAAGGAAGGCGAUGACAUCAUUCCCCUGGCUGAUGUCACCAGUGAGGUCGUCAGGUUUGGCGCCUCGUGCAGCAACGCCUCCCGGGAGGGAGGAAGUGACAUCAACCCCGGCGAUGACAUCACCAGCGAGGGCGGCCCCAGGAACAGAAGCGGCGACGGCUUCCUCCCCGAUGACGUCACCAGCGAGGUCACCUCCAGGGAUGAUGUCAACGGCAAGGUCAUCCCCGGGAAAGGAGGGAGUGAUGCGGUGCCCAGCGAUGACAUCAUCACUGGGGAUUCCCCCCGAGCGGGAGGAAGGGACGCCGUCCCUGGUGAUGAUGUCAUCGGUGAGGUCACUCCCAGGCGUGACGUCACCGGGAAGAGCGGAAGCAGUAUCAGUCCCGGGGAGGGAGGAAAUGACAUCACCCUUGGCGAUGACAUCACUGGCGAGCUCUUCCUCRGGGAGGAAAGCAGUGACGUCAUCGCUGGCAACGAGGUCAACAACGAAGUCAUCCCCGGCCAUCGGGGCAGUGACAUCAUCCUCGGCGAUGACAUCACCAGGGAGGGAGCAAACGAUGUCAUCGCCGCCAGCCGCGUCAGCAGCAGGGCCACCGCCAGGGUGCGCAGGAACGGUGUCACCCCCCGCGAUGACGUCACCAGCGGGGGUGUCCCCAGGGGGGGCRGCGAUGAUGUCACCGCCGGCGAUGAUGCCGCUGUCCCCAGCGAGGUCCUCGUCCUCGUCCUCGUCCUCCACGGGGGGGGCCGUCACCGUGAUGGUGAUGCCACUGGCGGCUGCGGUGUCACCCGUGUCCUCGUCCCCGACAUCCUUGUCCCCAACGUCCAUGUCCCCAACGUCGUCUCCAAUGUCCUCGUCCCCGAUGUCCUCGUCCCCGUCUUUGUCCCCAACAUCCUUGUCCUUGUCCCCAACGUCCAUGUCCCCWMUGUCCCCAACGUCCCUCAGYGCAGUGACGUCCCUGUCCCCAACGUCCCUCAGGACUGCGGCACCCUUGUCCCCGGUGGCCGGGACGUCCCCAAGGUCCCUCAGGGCUGUGACGUCUCUGGCCCCAAAGUCCUUGUGCCCAAGGUCCCUUAGGGCGGUGACAUCCCUGUCCCCAAUGCCCUUGUCCUCAAUGUCCCAUAGGGCGAUGGCAUCUCUGUCCCCAAUGUCCCAGUCUCCAGGAGCUGGGAUGUCCCCAAUGUCCCCUAGGGCCACCAGGUCCCCGGUGUCCUUGUCCCCAACAUCUCUCAGGGCAGUGAUCUCCCUGUCCCCAACACCCUUGUCCCCAAUGUCCCUUAGGGCCAUGACAUCCCUGUCCCCGAUAUCCCCAAGGUCCAGGACACCCUUGUCCCUGGUGUCCCUGUCCUCAGUGUCCCUUAGGGCUAGGACAUGCCUGUCCCCAAUGUCCCCAGGGGUUGGGACAUCCCUGUCCCUGGUGUCCCCAAGGUCUGGGACACCCCUGUCCCUCGUGUCCCUGUCCUCGAUGUCCCUUAGGGCCAGGACAUCCCUGUCCCCAAUGUCCUUGUCCCCAGCAGCCCUCAGGACAGUGACAUCCCCGUCCCCAAUGUCCGCAGGGAUUGGGGCAUCCCGGUCCCCGCUGUCCUUGUCCCUGUCACUCAGAGCUGGGACAUCCCUGUCCCCAAUGUCCCUUGGGCUUGGGACACCUCUGUCCCCGAUGUCCUUGUCCCCAGGAGCUGGGACAUCCCCGUCCCCAAUGUCCUUUGCAGCUGGGACACUCCUGUCCCCAAUGUCCUUGUCCCCAGGAGCUGGGACAUCCCCGUCCCCCACGUCCUCGUCCCCAGGGUCACCGCGUCCCAGGGCAGGGACGUCCCCGCGCCCCGCGUCCCCGACGUCCUCGUCCCCGGAGCUGGGGACGUCCUCGUCCCCCGGGGCCGCGGUGACAGUGAUGGUGAUGCCGCUGGCCCAGGCGGGGACGUCCCCGGGGACACCGGGGGAGGUGCCACCCGCCUCGGGGACGUCCCCGGGGGGGUGACGCGGGGGGACAGCGCCCGAGCACCCCUCGGCCAUGGGCGGGGACCUGGGGGGACAGAGGGGACGGGGACGUCACUGGGGGGGGGAAGCCACCGAGGAGGGGGGACGUGGGGAUGGAGGGGACAUGGGGACCUCGGGAGAGACCAGGGGACAUGGAGGGGGACACGGGGGACCCCAAGAGGGACGGGGGGGCCAUGGGGACCCUGGGGGGACGUGGCAGACCCCAGGAGGGACCAGGGGACACCUUGGGGACACAGAGGACCCCAGGAGGGACUGGGGGACACCAGGAGAAACAUGGGGACACUUUGGGGACACAGGGGACCCCAAGAGGGACCAGGGGACAUGGGGGGGACAUGGGGACACCUUGGGGACACAGAGGACCCCAGGAGGAACUGGGGGACACCAGGAGGAACAUGGGGACACCUUGGGGACACAGGUGACCCCAAGAGGGACCAGGGGACACGGGGCACCCCAGGAGGGACCAGGGGACACGGGGGGGGCCAUGGGGACCCUGGGGGGACAUGGGGGACCCCAGAAGGGACCAGGGGACAUGGGGAGGACACAGCAGACCCCAGGAAGGACAGGGGACCCCAGGGGGACACAGGGGACACUGGUGGGACACAGGGGACCCCAGGGAGGACACAGGGGACCCCAGGGGAGACCAGGGGACCCCAGGAGGGACUGGGGGACAUGGAGGGGCCAUGGGGACCCUGGGGGGACACGAGGGACCCCAGGAGGGACCAGGGGGACAUGGGGACACUUUGGGGACACGGGGGACCCCAGGAGGGAGCAGGAGAUGGGGGGGACAUGGGGGACACCAGAAGAAACAUGGGGACAUUUGGGGACACACAGGACAUGGGGGGGGACACGGAGGGGUCGCAGGUACCUGGGUGACACUGGCGGUGGCUCCUCAGCUCCCGUUUCGGGGUCUAAACGCCGGAUUUGGGGUCCCGGCGCCGCUUUGGGGCCCCGUCACCGCGUCACAUGUCCCYUCGGGGGGG
ensembl:lncRNA